GUCUUGGUAGCUCAGAUGGAAGAGCACCGGGCUAGCUAUCCGGUGGUCGUGGGUUCAAUUCCCACCGGAGACA